AAACUCAGAGCAGCAGCAGACAGCAACAUUUAGGUUCCAAUGCACAGAGAUCACGGAGUGCCUGUAGGAAUAUCACCGUCGUUUGGAGAGAGAAUUUGGAAAUAGAGUCUCAGUAAACUAACAACACAAGUUCUCGGCGACAGAGGGAAGAAGCACACGAUGACAGGAGCUUGUAUCUCCGGUUUGUAGCAUUGCGCUUGAAACAAAUUCAGAAGCAAAUACCGAUUCAAGCCUUUGCUCAGUAGCAGGCUGGGACUGAGAGAGAAUGGCCUGACACGAUUAAAAUCAACAACUGAACCCAUGCCGUGUGCUUCAGAAUCGAGACUCCACUGGGUUCGACUCUUAAUGUCAGCAGGAGAUGGUUUUCAAUCAGAAUUUAUGAAAUGGCUUCACCGACCUGGAAGACCAGACAGGGCCUAUGUAUUUUUCAUUCGUUUAGGCCUAGUAUUCAGCUGCACAGCACCGCAUAUCAGGACAACCUGACAGAGCUACAAAAUAAGGAAUGGACAUUUUACGGACUGAAGGGAAGACCUUAACGAUCAAUUAGACAGGCAAAACCAGAGAUGUACUCUGGCGAAAAAACAGUAUUCCAAACUGGAAGCAGUCUGGUUAAAACCUUCACAUUGAAGGAGAUUGUCAGUUUAUUUAAAGAAUAUUUCUGAUCUUUUCCUGUAUGAUAAUCAUAUGGGAGCCGUGUAUUACAACAUUUGUACAAUACUGAAUAGUGUCUCUGUAUAUUCACAGUGAAUGUCUACAGUAGUUGAAAUAGCGACAAAAAGUGCGUAGGAGAAAUUUCUCCAUUUCGAUUCUUGUUUAAAGUGCGUUAGAGAUUGAAAGGAAUCUGUCUCAGAACGUACAAGUUUGUAUUUUGAUAGAAAAGGGAUUCCCAGUAAACUGGGUAACGUAUUUUGCAAUGUGAGAACAAUCAGACCUGGUACUCCAGGUACUUUAAACAAAAAUGUCCUCAUGAUCAGCUUUAUAAAUUGGUCAGAGGUGUUUUGCUUUCUCUUACCAUUUAUGAGAGCCGAUUUUCAAGUUUAGUUCUAUGUAACACCCGUGAUUACAUGGCGAUGGUUAUAAAGGGUUAACAGAAACCCUCUAAGAAUUGUAGUUGGAUUUCUUCAUGUUGAAGAAUUGGGUAGUUUAAUAGAAGUAUUAAGCGUUCACUUACCUGUGCUUUGUCAUAUACAUGCCCCAUGAUUUAACAAUAGUUGUUGAGUUUCUCAAUGCUAUAUCAACAUGAUCUCAAUUAAAUGUCCAGUUUCUGGAAUAACACCCAUGAGUUUGGUAGAAGAGCUUUCUCCCUCUUACGUUGUGUCAUUGAUGGAAAGUUGAUCUGUCUUCUUGUUGAAGAUUAUUUGUACUUUUGUGAAAGGCUUAAUAAAUAACGAUUCUGUAAAUAAACUGCUUCUGGAGUGCACAGCGGACCACGCCAGGAAGGAAAUAAACAAUGAAGAAGGUAUUGACAUUAAAGAUAGUGGUUCUAGCUC